rnacentral:lncRNA from 1 species
CAGGAUGUCCUUGUAGUUCCUGACCCAGGCAUACUGCAGAAUGUCCUUGUAGUUCAUGACCCAGGCAUACUGGAGAAUGUCCUUGUAGUUCCUGACCCAGGCAUACUGGAGAAUUGUCCUUGUAGUUCAUGACCCAGGCAUACUGGAGAAUGUCCUUGUAGUUCAUGACCCAGGCAUACUGGAGAAUGUCCUUGUAGUUCAUGACCCAGGCAUACUGGAGAAUGUCCUUGUAGUUCCUGACCCAGGCAUACUGCAGAAUGUCCUUGUAGUUCAUGACCCAGGCAUACUGGAGAAUGUCCUUGUAGUUCCUGACCCAGGCAUACUGGAGAAUGUCCUUGUAGUUCAUGACCCAGGCAUACUGGAGAAUGUUCUUGUAGUUCAACUUAUCAGUCAAAAAACAAACAAAAAAACUAUAAAACCUCAGAAGUCAACAUGGUCACUAAACUGGACAAACAAGAAACAUUGGUAGGACCCUUUCUUUAGGGGUCCAGGAAAAUGUCAAAUGCUGCAUUUACACACAGGCAGCCCAAUUCGGAUGUUUCUUUCAACUAAUUGGUAUUUUGGCCAAUCAGCAGUUACUGGUGCAUUUAGGAGCAGGUAGUGGUGUGUUUAGGAGCAGGUACUGGUGUAUUUAGGAGCAGGUACUGGUGUAUUUAGGAGCAGGUACUGGUGUAUUUAGGAGCAGGUACUGAUGUAAUUAGGAGCAGGUAC